rnacentral:rRNA from 1 species
AUACGGAGGGGGCAAGCGUUGUUCGGAAUUACUGGGCGUAAAGCGCGCGUAGGCGGCUUUGUAAGUCGGAUGUGAAAGCCCUGGGCUCAACCUGGGAAUGGCAUUCGAUACUGCAGAGCUAGAGUAUGGUAGAGGGAAGUGGAAUUUCCGGUGUAGCGGUGAAAUGCGUAGAUAUCGGAAGGAACACCAGUGGCGAAGGCGACUUCCUGGGCCAAUACUGACGCUGAGGUGCGAAAGCGUGGGGAGCAAACAGGAUUAGAAACCCCAGUAGUCC